rnacentral:rRNA from 1 species
GAAUCUUCCACAAUGGACGCAAGUCUGAUGGAGCAACGCCGCGUGAGUGAAGAAGGUCUUCGGAUCGUAAAGCUCUGUUGUUGGUGAAGAAGGAUAGGAGGCAGUAACUGGUCUUUAUUUGACGGUAAUCAACCAGAAAGUCACGGCUAACUACGUGCCAGCAGCCGCGGUAAUACGUAGGUGGCAAGCGUUGUCCGGAUUUAUUGGGCGUAAAGCGAGCGCAGGCGGAAUGAUAAGUCUGAUGUGAAAGCCCACGGCUCAACCGUGGAACUGCAUCGGAAACUGUCAUUCUUGAGUGCAGAAGAGGAGAGUGGAACUCCAUGUGUAGCGGUGGAAUGCGUAGAUAUAUGGAAGAACACCAGUGGCGAAGGCGGCUCUCUGGUCUGCAACUGACGCUGAGGCUCGAAAGCAUGGGUAGCGAACAGGAUUAGAUACCCUGGUAGUCCAUGCCGUAAACGACGAGCGCUAGGUGUUGGGGACUUUCCGGUCCUCAGUGCCGCAGCAAACGCAUUAAGCGCUCCGCCUGGGGAGUACGACCGCAA